ACGCUCAGAAACAGAAUAUUAGUAAACAAACAAGUUUACCUGGUAGGGAGGCUGUCACCUGCCAGUUAAAAUUUAUACAUCACUACAGUGCCACGUUACCUGUGUAUGGGAAACAACAGAUGCAGAGGAAGGCGAGGUCGGGGAAGUGACUGAGUUGACCGACCAACAAAGAUGCAUUAGAGAAACUGUCAAAAGUUCACCAAUUUCCUUCACUCAUCCUGCAGUGGCCCAAGAUAAACUCAUAUCUUAUCAAGAAGUGAAGAACAGGGACAGACU
rnacentral:lncRNA from 1 species